GAUGAACGCUGGCGGCGUGCCUAAUACAUGCAAGUCGAGCGAACGGACGAGAAGCUUGCUUCUCUGAUGUUAGCGGCGGACGGGUGAGUAACACGUGGAUAACCUACCUAUAAGACUGGGAUAACUUCGGGAAACCGGAGCUAAUACCGGAUAGUAUUUUGAACCGCAUGGUUCAAAAGUGAAAGACGGUCUUGCUGUCACUUAUAGAUGGAUCCGCGCUGCAUUAGCUAGUUGGUAAGGUAACGGCUUACCAAGGCAACGAUGCAUAGCCGACCUGAGAGGGUGAUCGGCCACACUGGAACUGAGACACGGUCCAGACUCCUACGGGAGGCAGCAGUAGGGAAUCUUCCGCAAUGGGCGAAAGCCUGACGGAGCAACGCCGCGUGAGUGAUGAAGGUCUUCGGAUCGUAAAACUCUGUUAUUAGGGAAGAACAUAUGUGUAAGUAACUGUGCACAUCUUGACGGUACCUAAUCAGAAAGCCACGGCUAACUACGUGCCAGCAGCCGCGGUAAUACGUAGGUGGCAAGCGUUAUCCGGAAUUAUUGGGCGUAAAGCGCGCGUAGGCGGUUUUUUAAGUCUGAUGUGAAAGCCCACGGCUCAACCGUGGAGGGUCAUUGGAAACUGGAAAACUUGAGUGCAGAAGAGGAAAGUGGAAUUCCAUGUGUAGCGGUGAAAUGCGCAGAGAUAUGGAGGAACACCAGUGGCGAAGGCGACUUUCUGGUCUGUAACUGACGCUGAUGUGCGAAAGCGUGGGGAUCAAACAGGAUUAGAUACCCUGGUAGUCCACGCCGUAAACGAUGAGUGCUAAGUGUUAGGGGGUUUCCGCCCCUUAGUGCUGCAGCUAACGCAUUAAGCACUCCGCCUGGGGAGUACGACCGCAAGGUUGAAACUCAAAGGAAUUGACGGGGACCCGCACAAGCGGUGGAGCAUGUGGUUUAAUUCGAAGCAACGCGAAGAACCUUACCAAAUCUUGACAUCCUUUGACAACUCUAGAGAUAGAGCCUUCCCCUUCGGGGGACAAAGUGACAGGUGGUGCAUGGUUAUCGUCAGCUCGUGUCGUGAGAUGUUGGGUUAAGUCCCGCAACGAGCGCAACCCUUAAGCUUAGUUGCCAUCAUUAAGUUGGGCACUCUAAGUUGACUGCCGGUGACAAACCGGAGGAAGGUGGGGAUGACGUCAAAUCAUCAUGCCCCUUAUGAUUUGGGCUACACACGUGCUACAAUGGACAAUACAAAGGGCAGCGAAACCGCGAGGUCAAGCAAAUCCCAUAAAGUUGUUCUCAGUUCGGAUUGUAGUCUGCAACUCGACUACAUGAAGCUGGAAUCGCUAGUAAUCGUAGAUCAGCAUGCUACGGUGAAUACGUUCCCGGGUCU
rnacentral:rRNA from 1 species